rnacentral:lncRNA from 1 species
GUGGAUGGAUUUUGAAUCAUAUAACUCAAUUAAGUUAACCAAUCUAAGUCUAAAUUGAUCGACCUAAACUCAACCUGUGCAUAGAAAAAUAAGAUUAGGUUGAGUUAAGUUAAAUAUUUUUGGUUAGAGGAUGACAUGGGUUUGAGUUGGGUUGAUUGUUUCUUAAUUCAAGUUAGGCUCGGGUUGGCUAUCAACCUGACCCAAUCUGUCCAAGGUCCUAGAUUUUACGAAAAACUUGUCUUCUUGUAAAUUGAUAACAAAAUAUGAAAAUAAAGUCAUAAUUGAAAAAAAAAUCAAAAAAGGAAGAAAAUAUUGGUUUCCAUUCAAAAUUCAUUGUUAUGUAAAUAGUUUCAUAUGGAAAUAAAAUGACAUAGAGAAAUAAUGAAAGAAGAGAGAAUAAGUUAGUUGUUUGGCCCCUUUUAUUUGCUCAUAAAUCCUUAUUUGUAAAUUAAGAGCAAUAUAAAUAUGGUAAUAGUGUAAACAUG